GCCAGAAGGGAACCACUGGUCAGUAGAACACUUGACAAAGAAGCUGAAUAAAUUCCAUCAUGCAUGGGUGCCAUACAUGUCCAAGCACUUGUUGAUGGACAUCAAGGCGGGUUCCUUUUCCUUGCGGCAGAGCAGAAAUAAACACAAUGUGUUGAAAAAUGCCUCAUUGGAUGUAAAACAUAUGCUUAAAAAUGAAACGGAGUCAGAUAUCACUGCUGAUCUCAGAAAGAAGCUCCAUCGGGCUAAGAAGAAAUGACAACUAAGUACAAUCCAGAGGGACCUUGUGAUUUUUCUAAACCAAAUGCUCACGGCCAUUAUCCUCUGACAGAUGUCAUGCUAGAGCUCUUAAGAGCAAAUGCUUCUUCUUGAGCCUUGGAGAUCUCACCAUUAGUUUCAAUAAUAAAGGAACUUCUGGGUUUUCCUCA